rnacentral:tRNA from 1 species
GCUCUAUUAGCAUAGUGGUUUAGUGCAUCUGGUUUUCUCCCAGAAGACAAGGGUUCGAUUCCCUUAUAGAGUACAA